AGAGGAAGGAGGCAGAUCGGUUAGGUCUGAAAAUAUGGAAACGAGAGGAAGAAAAAGGAAGGAGGCAGCUCGGUUAGGUCUGAAAAUAUGGGAACGAGAGGAAGGAAAAGGAAGGAGGCAGCUCGGUUAGGUCUGAAAACAUGGAAACGAGAGGAAGGAAAAGGAAGGAGGCAGCUCGGUUAGGUCUGAAAACAUGGAAACGAGAGGAAGGAAAAGGAAGGAGGCAGCUCGGUUAGGUCUGAAAACAUGGAAACGAGAGGAAGGAAAAGGAAGGAGGCAGCUCGGUUAGGUCUGAAAACAUGGAAACGAGAGGAAGGAAAGGAAGGAGGCAGCUCGGUUAGGUCUGAAAAUAUGGAAACGAGAGGAAGAAAAAGGAAGGAGGCAGCUCGGUUAGGUCUGAAAAUAUGGAAACGAGAGGAAGGAAAAGGAAGGAGGCAGAUCGGUUAGGUCUGAAAACAUGGAAACGAGAGGAAGGAAAAGGAAGGAGGCAGAUCGGUUAGGUCUGAAAACAUGGAAACGAGAGGAAGGAAAAGGAAGGAGGCAGCUCGGUUAGGUCUGAAAACAUGGAAACGAGAGGAAGGAAAAGGAAGGAGGCAGAUCGGUUAGGUCUGAAAACAUGGAAACGAGAGGAAGGAAAAGGAAGGAGGCAGAUCGGUUAGGUCUGAAAACAUGGAAACGAGAGGAAGGAAAAGGAAGGAGGCAGCUCGGUUAGGUCUGAAAACAUGGAAACGAGAGGAAGGAAAAGGAAGGAGGCAGCUCGGUUAGGUCUGAAAACAUGGAAACGAGAGGAAGGAAAAGGAAGGAGGCAGAUCGGUUAGGUCUGAAAACAUGGAAACGAGAGGAAGGAAAAGGAAGGAGGCAGAUCGGUUAGGUCUGAAAACAUGGAAACGAGAGGAAGGAAAAGGAAGGAGGCAGAUCGGUUAGGUCUGAAAACAUGGAAACGAGAGGAAGGAAAAGGAAGGAGGCAGCUCGGUUAGGUCUGAAAACAUGGAAACGAGAGGAAGGAAAAGGAAGGAGGCAGCUCGGUUAGGUCUGAAAACAUGGAAACGAGAGGAAGGAAAAGGAAGGAGGCAGCUCGGUUAGGUCUGAAAACAUGGAAACGAGAGGAAGGAAAAGGAAGGAGGCAGAUCGGUUAGGUCUGAAAACAUGGAAACGAGAGGAAGGAAAAGGAAGGAGGCAGAUCGGUUAGGUCUGAAAACAUGGAAACGAGAGGAAGGAAAAGGAAGGAGGCAGCUCGGUUAGGUCUGAAAACAUGGAAACGAGAGGAAGGAAAAGGAAGGAGGCAGAUCGGUUAGGUCUGAAAACAUGGAAACGAGAGGAAGGAAAAGGAAGGAGGCAGAUCGGUUAGGUCUGAAAACAUGGAAACGAGAGGAAGGAAAAGGAAGGAGGCAGCUCGGUUAGGUCUGAAAACAUGGAAACGAGAGGAAGGAAAAGGAAGGAGGCAGCUCGGUUAGGUCUGAAAACAUGGAAACGAGAGGAAGGAAAAGGAAGGAGGCAGCUCGGUUAGGUCUGAAAACAUGGAAACGAGAGGAAGGAAAAGGAAGGAGGCAGAUCGGUUAGGUCUGAAAAAAAACAGAUGAA